rnacentral:rRNA from 1 species
AGAGUUUGAUCCUGGCUCAGGAUGAACGCUGGCGGCGUGCCUAACACAUGCAAGUCGAGCGAUUCUCUUCGGAGAAGAGCGGCGGACGGGUGAGUAACGCGUGGGUAACCUGCCCUGUACACACGGAUAACAUACCGAAAGGUAUGCUAAUACGAGAUAAUAUACUUUUAUCGCAUGGUAGAAGAAUCAAAGCUCCGGCGGUACAGGAUGGACCCGCGUCUGAUUAGCUAGUUGGUAAGGUAACGGGCUUACCAAGGCGACGAUCAGUAGCCGACCUGAGAGGGUGAUCGGCCACAUUGGAACUGAGACACGGUCCAAACUCCUACGGGAGGCAGCAGUGGGGAAUAUUGCACAAUGGGCGAAAGCCUGAUGCAGCAACGCCGCGUGAGCGAUGAAGGCCUUCGGGUCGUAAAGCUCUGUCCUCAAGGAAGAUAAUGACGGUACUUGAGGAGGAAGCCCCGGCUAACUACGUG